ensembl:ncRNA lncRNA:CR46326 long non-coding RNA:CR46326
UGUCAACAGGGCUGCCAACAUUUUGUGCUGUUAUCUGCGCCACUCGCGCAAUUCUGGCAACAGAAACAGCGACCACAACAACCACAUUCUGCACAUGGGAACAUAGUUUGGACUUUGGCGAUCGAAGAACGGAGACUGGAGAACAUGGGAACUGAGCUGAGGAAGCCACUGCCCAGACAAAGUGGCUGUGGGUCCGACUCGGGAUCUGCUGCGAAAUGCAGCAAACCACAUGUGAGCUAUGGGAGAAGCCGGCGGCGGAAGGUGGUCACCAUUGAGCAAAAGCCAAGAGCUACGGCGACCUCCGCACAUUGAGGAAAAUCAUUC